rnacentral:rRNA from 1 species
AUGCUGGAUCACGGCAUUGUUGAGGAGGAGGAGGAGAGGGUUGUCUAUUUUUAUCCAACGCAAGAUGUUUCAGUGGGAGGUAGAGGCAGAGACAUGGAUGCGAGUUUCAGUGUUUCUCUAGGCGCCAUGAGACCCCUUCUUAAGAAGCUUGACAUGAUGCUAGGUCCUCAUGGAUGCAAGCUGACCAAGGGGGUCAAUGAUAGGUCGCAGCUCCUCAAAGAUGAUCUCGAAGAAAUAGCCACAUACCUUGAAGAUCUGUUAGAGGUGGAGGACCCUCCCCUGGCGGCCAAGUGCUGGAUGAAAGAGGCACAUGAGUUAUCUUAUGACAUCCUAGAUUGUAUUGACAACUUUGUGCCCCCUGAUCAGUCUUUUGGCUACAAAUUUGACCACAACAUGACUCAUGUUAAAAUUCCCAAGAGGCUCAAGUGGCAGAAACAAAUUGAAUAUGCAGCUCCAGAUGCGUUAGGACAUGUUAUCUCCAAGAACACUCGUGUUGAUGUCAUUCGUGCUCCUAGGAAGCUCAAGUGGUACCAACAGAUGGUUGAAAAGGUAUCAGAAUUCAGAAUUUAUGCCCGAGAGGCGAUCCGACGGUACGAGAGAUACCAGGUCCAUUGUUGUAGCACCUUGGCGGCACGUAGAUUAUCAGCCAUUGGGCCUAUAGUGCCAAUGCCGCCACUGCCUUGUGAGAAAACUUGUUUCGGCCUAGUAAUUGAUGGUCGGAUGAGCAAGUUUAUUAACUCGAUGGCUAACGACGCGGAUCAGCAGCUUAAGGUGGUGUCUAUUCAUGGAUCUGGAUGUCUUGGUAAAACAAUGGUUGCCAGAGUGUUGUACAAUAAAAUUGGGAGACAAUUUCAUUGCCGGGCUUUCAUCCGGGUGUCCAAAAAGCCUAAUAUGAAGAGGCUUUUCUGUGACAUCCUGUCACAAAUCCAGCGGAAGCAGCCCCAAGCAAGCCAAGCCGCUUCUGAUGAACUACGCAUUACUGCUGAAAAUAUCAGGAAUUAUCUACAUGGCAAAGGUAUCUGA